GAGUUUGAUCCUGGCUCAGAGCGAACGCUGGCGGCAUGCUUAACACAUGCAAGUCGCACGGUCAGCAAUGGCAGUGGCGGACGGGUGAGUAACACGUAGGAAUCUAUCUCUGGGUGGGGGACAACAGUGGGAAACUACUGCUAAUACCGCAUGAUACCUGAGGGUCAAAGGCGUAAGUCGCCUGGAGAGGAGCCUGCGUCUGAUUAGCUUGUUGGUGGGGUAAAGGCCUACCAAGGCUACGAUCAGUAGCUGGUCUGAGAGGAUGAUCAGCCACAUUGGGACUGAGACACGGCCCAAACUCCUACGGGAGGCAGCAGUGGGGAAUAUUGGACAAUGGGCGAAAGCCUGAUCCAGCAAUGCCGCGUGUGUGAAGAAGGUCUUCGGAUUGUAAAGCACUUUUGGCAGGGACGAUGAUGACGGUACCUGCAGAAUAAGCCCGGCUAACUUCGUGCCAGCAGCCGCCGCAGUAAU
rnacentral:rRNA from 1 species